rnacentral:rRNA from 1 species
UGGCGAACGGGUGAGUAACGCGUGAGGAACCUGCCUCAAAGAGGGGGACAACAGUUGGAAACGACUGCUAAUACCGCAUAAGCCCACGGGUCGGCAUCGAUCUGAGGGAAAAGGAGUGAUCCGCUUUGAGAUGGCCUCGCGUCCGAUUAGCUAGUUGGUGAGGUAACGGCCCACCAAGGCGACGAUCGGUAGCCGGACUGAGAGGUUGAACGGCCACAUUGGGACUGAGACACGGCCCAA